CGGAGCUGAACUGGGUACGCGUGGGGGUCAGAUCUGGGACCUGCCCUCGGCGUGCUUGCCCUUUCCUCUCUCACCACCCUACCCCCUUUCCUCCUGUCUCUGUCUCCCACUCCGCACGGGUACCGAGAACUUUCUGGGAAUCGACGGGAUUUCUCUGGCUGUCGUUUGUGCUGCGUUUAUCCGAAUAAAUCCGACUCGCAGACAUCCAGCAGGAAACGGCUUCCCGCUGGCGUGAACGCAUAUGCUUUGGCCCAGCCGGGACUCGAGGUGACUCCUUGUAUCUGGGCUGCUAUGGGUCUACUCUCCGAAGUAGGCUGGACAAACGGCCCCCACAGGUCGAGCGGCCUCUUGCUGACCAACUGUGCCUGACAGACCCCACUUCUGCCCAGGCUUCAGAAACCUGUCCUGCCGUGGCAAAAACUGAAAGCAAACCCCUGCAGAAGUAGUUCGAACUUCCCUCGAGGCAAGUUUGCAACAGAUUCAGUGGCAGUUUUGAGAGGACAGUGGGCCAGUGCGAGUGAGUGUGGGAUGGGGCGGGGACGAGGAGGCCACCUGGUGUCUGAGCUUGGCUGGAGGCAAAACGUCAAGGAAGUCCCAUCCUUCACACUACUCUUCGGCUCCUGGUGGUAAAGAAUUUUCUAGCUGCGGAGGGCGAACAGCUUGAUUUUGAGAUCGCACUGGGAGGUUAAGGGGACCGCAUUGUAAAAGUUGCAGAAAUCUUUGCUCCGAAGCGUCAAUCCCGCGGGGCUCAAGAAACUUUAGAACAGCUUUCCUUCCUUGGGGCAAAUCAGCCUGGACAGCCCCUUGCCCAGCUCUCUGCCCUCACCUGGAAUCAGCGGUUAAAUAACCUUCCAACGCGGAAGCCGCAAAAGUUCUCAGCUCCGCCCAACGGUCACGGACAAGGCCCGGACGCACAGGGUGCCGGGACGCACCGGGUAUCCGCAAGGCCACUUCUGGGAAGGCUCGGCCCCGGCGGGCAGAGAGGCUUGCGCGGAGGUGGGAGGAUGAAUGUGGUUCCCACUCCCACUUGUCUCCUCAGACCCUCAUGGUGAUCCCCCAACUCCGGGCAGUGGGCGCUUCCCCCUGGGUGUUGCAUUUUCGGGGCGCUAGAGCGCAAAGUGCGCUCGCGGAUUGGCGCGGGGGCGGCCUCUUGUCUCUCCGCGGGGCCUGUCGCCGGGCCGGCCGCGGCGGGUGAGUGAUGAGGGCAGAGAAGGGCGCCCAUAAAUCGCGGGUGUCAGGGCGAAAAACUCUCUUUAUUGUCUGCGUGAUGGAUGGGCCCGGGGACGAGACACCAAAUACUUCGUAUCGCCUUUAAAUGGGAACACAUUUUCCGCGGCCAUAAUUCAUGUUUUUUAAAUAGAAAGUUUGAAAUGUUG